rnacentral:rRNA from 1 species
AGUGAACGCUGGCGGUAGGCCUAACACAUGCAAGUCGAACGGCAGCACAGUAAGAGCUUGCUCUUACGGGUGGCGAGUGGCGGACGGGUGAGGAAUACAUCGGAAUCUACUUUUUCGUGGGGGAUAACGUAGGGAAACUUACGCUAAUACCGCAUACGACCUACGGGUGAAAGCAGGGGAUCUUCGGACCUUGCGCGAUUGAAUGAGCCGAUGUCGGAUUAGCUAGUUGGCGGGGUAAAGGCCCACCAAGGCGACGAUCCGUAGCUGGUCUGAGAGGAUGAUAAGCCGCACUGGAACUGAGACACGGUCCAGACUACUACGGGAGGCAGCAGUGGGGAAUAUUGGGCAAAGGGCGCAAGCCUGAUCCAGCCAUACCGCGUGGGUGAAGAAGGCCUUCGGGUUGUAAAGACCUUUUGUUGGGAAAGAAAAGCAGCAGGUUAAUACCCCGCUGUUCUGACGGUACCCAAAGAAUAAGCACCGGCUAACUUCGUG